UACGUAGGGGGCAAGCGUUGUCCGGAAUCAUUGGGCGUAAAGCGCGUGUAGGCGGCUGGGUAAGUCCGCUCUGAAAGCCCGGGGCUCAACCCCGGGAGGCGGGUGGAUACUGCUCAGCUCGAGUCCGGAAGAGGAGUGUGGAAUUCCUGGUGUAGCGGUGAAAUGCGCAGAUAUCAGGAAGAACACCCGUGGCGAAGGCGGUUCUCUGGGACGGUACUGACGCUGAGACGCGAAAGCGUGGGGAGCGAACAGG
rnacentral:rRNA from 1 species